rnacentral:rRNA from 1 species
ACGCUGGCGGCAGGCCUAACACAUGCAACUCGAGCGGUAGAGAGGAGCUUGCUUCUCUUGAGAGCGGCGGACGGGUGAGUAAUGCCUAGGAAUCUGCCUGGUAGUGGGGGAUAACGUUCGGAAACGGACGCUAAUACCGCAUACGUCCUACGGGAGAAAGCAGGGGACCUUCGGGCCUUGCGCUAUCAGAUGAGCCUAGGUCGGAUUAGCUAGUUGGUGGGGUAACGGCUCACCAAGGCGACGAUCCGUAACUGGUCUGAGAGGAUGAUCAGUCACACUGGAACUGAGACACGGUCCAGACUCCUACGGGAGGCAGCAGUGGGGAAUAUUGGACAAUGGGCGAAAGCCUGAUCCAGCCAUGCCGCGUGUGUGAAGAAGGUCUUCGGAUUGUAAAGCACUUUAAGUUGGGAGGAAGGGUUGUAGAUUAAUACUCUGCAAUUUUGACGUUACCGACAGAAUAAGCACCGGCUAACUCUGUGCCAGCAGCCGCGGUAAUACAGAGGGUGCAAGCGUUAAUCGGAAUUACUGGGCGUAAAGCGCGCGUAGGUGGUUAGUUAAGUUGGAUGUGAAAUCUCCGGGCUCAACCUGGGAACUGCAUUCAAAACUGACUGACUAGAGUAUGGUAGAGGGUGGUGGAAUUUCCUGUGUAGCGGUGAAAUGCGUAGAUAUAGGAAGGAACACCAGUGGCGAAGGCGACCACCUGGACUGAUACUGACACUGAGGUGCGAAAGCGUGGGGAGCAAAC